GCCAGACGUGGUGGCGCAUGCCUGUAAUCCUAGCUGCUCAGGAGGCUGAGGCAGAAGGAUUGUGAGUUCAAAGCCAGCCUCAGCAAAAGCGAGAUGCUAAGCAACUUAGUGAGACCUGUCUCUA
rnacentral:sRNA from 1 species